UUUGGCAGACAACCUCUAUUUGCAACCCUAAAACUCUGCCCCUCUCUCAGUUCUCACUCUCGAACCCUAAAAUCCUAAAUCGCGAAGCUUUCACUCUCACACCCUCAAUCCUCAUAGAAUCAUAGCACACCGAGUCACUGCUAGACGCCUAGACUGCCUCACGGCUCAACCCUCACUACCCCUCUCGAACAAUCGAACCCUAAAUCGCGCAGCUUUCACUCACGCCCCCCAGUUGCCGGCUCGCCGCUCACCGCCUCACGCCCUCACCCAUCUCAGUCCUCAGACUUGUUCCGAUUUUGGGUUCUUCACUUCUUCCAAGUUCCAACUCUUAAGGAUUGGAAGAUUUUUAUUUAGUGGCAGAUUGGCAGUAUGUUUAUUUAGUGGUGCGGCAGAUUAGCAGUAUGUGGAACUGUGGAAGCAUGUUUAUUUUUUUUCCUAAUGAACUAUGAAACAGUGGUGGAGAAGUGUAGAAAGUAAGGUCUAUUGGGAGAACUUACAUUCAUCAAAAGCAUCAAAGUAAGGUCUAUUGGGAGAAGAGGAGGAGAAGAAGAAAGGGUUUUUUCUUUCUCCCUCUGAUUCUGCCUGUGUCCAAAGGAGGAAACACACCAUUCACAUAUGUCAUUGUUGACAACCAAAAGUGAGUGUGUUAAUCUUUGCAAUCUUUGGGGAAUUUUAUGAGGUUGUGCUAUACAUAUUACUAUUGUCUUGAAGGGUCAUUGUUCUAUGAUGUUCCAGAAAAACGCCCACAUGCAUUUUCACUCCAGGAUAUCCACCCAAAUCAAAAUUGUCUCCGGCCCUUGAAGUAAAUAUUGCAGGAGGUAUACACAUCAUCUACACUUAAUCAAAGUCAUUGAAGUAGAAGGCUGUGGAUUAUGCAUUGAUCAAAGCCAUUGAAGCAAUGUUGGAUUUGAAGGCUUAUUUGGGUGCAGCGAGCAUACUUAAGUAGUAUUGAUUAAAUAGCAUACUUAAGUAUUGGGUAGCAUUGUUAUUGUCUUCAUCUCCAGUACAUGUCAUCUUUUGUUUUUUUGUUUUAUUGGUAGUGUGUCAUGUGCAAUUAGGUUACUGGUGGUAAGACAUCAUCAUGCAAUGAGAUUAUGGUGUAAGAAGUUUUAUAUUUGUCUUGCUGUGUAUAUGAUUGAGAUCUUAGUUGAACUAUAAACUAUUUAUCUUACAAGCGCCUAUUGA